AUUGAACGCUGGCGGCAUGCCUUACACAUGCAAGUCGAACGGUAACGCGGGGCAACCUGGCGACGAGUGGCGAACGGGUGAGUAAUGCAUCGGAACGUGCCCAGUAGUGGGGGAUAGCCCGGCGAAAGCCGGAUUAAUACCGCAUACGACCUACGGGUGAAAGCGGGGGACCGUAAGGCCUCGCGCUAUUGGAGCGGCCGAUGUCAGAUUAGGUUGUUGGUGGGGUAAAAGCCUACCAAGCCGACGAUCUGUAGCUGGUCUGAGAGGACGACCAGCCACGCUGGGACUGAGACACGGCCCAGACUCCUACGGGAGGCAGCAGUGGGGAAUUUUGGACAAUGGGGGCAACCCUGAUCCAGCCAUGCCGCGUGCGGGAAGUAGGCCUUCGGGUUGUAAACCGCUUUUGUCAGGGAAGAAACGCUCUGGGCUAAUACCCCGGGGUAAUGACGGUACCUGAAGAAUAGGCACCGGCUAACUACGUGCCAGCCGCCGCGGUAAAAC
rnacentral:rRNA from 1 species